GCAGGCCUGUGUGCACAGUGACAGUCUGUGUCUGUGGAGCAACUAGCUUGUGUUUUGCAUGCUGGCAGUUUCAUACACGCGUCCCCUGCAGCCCAAGACUAACGUGAGAUCAUAGUACUGGUCUAGUGAUGUCUAAAAGACACCUCUACCACUGGCCAGCCUCCAAUCUCUCAGACACAG
rfam:Xenopus laevis strain J chromosome 4L, whole genome shotgun sequence.